UUUGAUCCUGGCUCAGGACGAACGCUGACGGUGUGCUUUAGGCAUGCAAGUCGAACGAGAAAGCCCUUCGGGGUGAGUAAAGUGGCGAACGGGUGAGUAACACGUGGGCAACCUGCCCCUCGCAGGGGGACAACCGGAGGAAACUCCGGCUAAUACCCCGUACGUUCUCAGGGUCGCAUGGCCCUGGGAGGAAAGGUAGCUUCGGCCAUCCGGCGAGGGAUGGGCCCGCGGUGCAUUAGCUAGUUGGUGGGGUAACGGCCCACCAAGGCGACGAUGCAUAGCUGGUCUGAGAGGAUGAUCAGCCACACUGGGACUGAGACACGGCCCAGACUCCUACGGGAGGCAGCAGCCAGGAAUCUUGGGCAAUGGGCGCAAGCCUGACCCAGCAACACCGUGUGGGCGAUGAAGGCCUUCGGGUCGUAAAGCCCUGUUGAUAGGGACGAAGGGCGAAGGGUUAAUAGCCCCUAGCCUGACGGUACCUUUCGAGGAAGCCCCGGCUAACUACGUGCCAGCAGCCGCGGUAAUACGUAGGGGGCGAGCGUUGUCCGGAUUUAUUGGGCGUAAAGAGCGUGUAGGCGGUUCGGUAAGUCUGCCGUGAAAACCUGAGGCUCAACCUCGGGCGUGCGGUGGAUACUGCCGGGCUAGAGGACGGUAGAGGCGAGUGGAAUUCCCGGUGUAGCGGUGAAAUGCGCAGAUAUCGGGAGGAACCAGCAGUAGCGAAGGCGACUCGGUGGCCCGUUCCUGAUGCUGAGACGCGAAAGCUAGAGGAGCGAGCAGGAUCAGAUACCGUGGUAGUCGUAGUCGUAAACGAUGGACACUAGCUGUGGGGGGAGUGGGAUCCCUCUGUGUCGCAGCCACAGCGUAAAGUGUACCGCUUGGGGAGUACGACUGCAAGCCUAAAACUCAAAAGAAUAAAAGGGGGCGCGCACAAGCAGAGGAGCAUGUUCUUUAUUUCGAUGCAACGCGAAGAACAUUACCUGGACUUGACAUGGUCAUGCAAGCGCACGGAAACGUGUGACCUUGGCGGUUGCACCACAGCUGCAGCAUGGCCAUGGUCAUCUUCAGUCGUGAGAUGUUGGGUUAAGUCCCGCAACGAGCGCAACCCCUAUGGCGUGUUGCCAUCAUUAACUUGGGGACUCACGCCAGACUCCCGGUGACAAACCGGAGGAAGGGGGGGAUGAGGUCAAGUCAUCAUGGUUAUUACUUCCAGGGCCAGAAACGGGAUACAAUGGCUGAUACAAAGGGUAGCAAGACCACGAGGUGGAGCGAAUCUCAUCAAAGUCAGUCUCAGUUCGGAUUGCAGUCUCCAUCCCGAAUGCGUGAAGGCGGAGUUGGUGGUAAUCGUGGAUCAGCAUGCCCCGGUGAAUACGUUCCCGGUCCUGGUCCACACCCCCCGUCACACCCCGAACGUCGGCAAUACCUGAAGUAGGCGCAGCUAACCCCAUCUAGGGGACGCGGUUUACGAAGGUAGGGCUGGCGAUUGGGGUGAAGUCGUAACAAGGUAGCCGU
rnacentral:rRNA from 1 species